GUUUGCAUGCAAGUCUCAACGUCGAGGCCGGCUGCAGCGGGGCUGAGCUGGUGCGGCCGCAGGGUUUGCAGAGCUCCGGGGGGGUGGGGGGCGGGAAACGCUCUCCCCACACGUAACCCCACUAAAGCCACAAGCAGCAGGGCACACGCUGCAGCCUCUCAACCCCUGCCCUCUCCAUCGCCCCUAAAAACCGACGCACAUUGGUGGGGGCCGGGACUGGGAGGAGCCGCCUUCGCCGUGCUGAAGGGGAAGGAGCCCGGGCCGGGCGCGGGGCGUCGGAGGUUUGCAGUCCGGUGACUGGGGAUCGGAGCCGGGAGGGAUGCAGAGAGAGGCAGGCCCCUGACUGCUGGGACUUCCUUGCUGGCGGUUUCUUCCUUCCUGCGCUGGGUUAGAGGAGAAGCGGCCGGGGGCGAGCGCUGGCAGCCCCGGAGCGCGCUCUCAGGUGCGGACGUGGGGAGCUCGGCCCCGAGUCUCCGGCAGGCGCUGAGCGAAGGGAAAACCGGCGCAAGCCUCGGCGGGGUCCGGCCUGGCCCAGGAAGCGGAAAGUUCAUGCUUCUCGCUUCAACUUUUCGGGCCGGCGCCACAGCCCCGAGCGAGGAAGAGCCGCCCCUACGUCACUCUUCACCCUGCGCGCGCUGUUCUGGCUCCUUUCUUUGGAGGUCGCCAGCAGCCUUUCCAGGACCCGGGAGGAAACUGCCUUUGCAGGGCCCAGCUCCCGAAACUAAACUUGCCCCCAAAGCCCCGCAUCUUCUCUUAGUCUCCCUGCCCCCAUCCAUCCCAGCCUGGCAGUGUUUAGAGAGGGGACUGAACUUCCCUCUCUCAGCAGUUCAAGUUCCCCCACCCCCGAGGCUUGUGUACCCUUCUUGUGGGUGCCCCUCCCUUGCCUCUCCCGUGGUGUGUGAGCAGCUAGGUGCCUUAUUAUAGGUGAAGCUUUGAAGGCUGUUGGAGGCUUUGUGCCUUUGGCUUCUCAAAAUUUGCCAAGCCCCGACUAUCUGAGAUCGGCCGAGAUGACUGAGGUGAUGAUGAACACCCAGCCCAUGGAGGAGAUCGGCCUCAGCCCCCGCAAGGAUGGCCUUUCCUACCAGAUCUUCCCAGACCCGUCAGAUUUUGACCGCUGCUGCAAACUGAAGGACCGUCUGCCCUCCAUAGUGGUGGAACCCACAGAAGGAGAGGUGGAGAGCGGGGAGCUCCGGUGGCCCCCUGAGGAGUUCCUGGUCCAGGAGGAUGAGCAAGAUAACUGCGAAGAGACAGCGAAAGAAAAUAAAGAGCAGUAGAGUCCCUGUGGACUCCCAUGGGUCAUACCAGCCAGCAUCUGUUCCUGAACUGUGUUUUUCCCAUCAUGACGGAAGAAGAGAGUGAGCCGCAAUUGUUCUGAAAAUGUCAAACGAGGCUUCUGUUUUGCACCUGCAGAUCACCGAGUUGGUUUUCUUUUCUUGUCUUUUUUUUUUUUUUUUUGAAAUUUGCCGAGCAGUGAAGCCCUCUGACAAUUUGCAAGGCCCUCUGAGGAAGGAAGCUGCUUAGAACCAGGGGGUUAGGGGGUGGGGGGAGCGAGUGCUGUUUCUGAGAUCAUUAUCUGAACUCAGGCAGCCUAGUAGAGGCAGUGGUGGGAUUCCAAUGGGUCUUGGUGGGUGGGAGGUGGGGGAUGUGCAAAGCAAGCAAGGAACAUUUGGGGUAAGAAAACAAACAUGAGGC
rnacentral:sRNA from 1 species